GACGAACGCUGGCGGCGUGCUUAACACAUGCAAGUCGAACGGAAAGGCCUGUCCUUCCUUGUGUUGGCCGGUUACUCGCGUGGCGAACGGGUGAGUAACACGUGAAUGAUCUGCCCCCAACUUGGGUAUAAGCCUGGUAAACUGGGUCUAAUUCCCGAUAGGACUGCAGGGUGGUGCCUGUGGUGGAAAACGCUGUUCUAGUGGUUGGGGAUGCGCUCGCGGCCGAUCAGCUUGUUGGUGGGGUUGUGGGCUACCAAGGCGAGGACGAGUAGCCGGCCUGUGAGGAUGGGCAACCGGCCUGGGCCUGAGCCGCGGGCCGGAGUGGGACAGGAGGCAGCAGGGGGGAAGAUUGGACGAUGGGGGCAGCCCUGGGGCAGCCAUGCCGCGUGGGUGAUGACGGCCUUAGGGUUGUAAAGCUCUUUUCUGCGGGACGGUAAUGACGGUACCGGAGGAAUAAGCCCCGGCUAACUUCGUG
rnacentral:rRNA from 1 species